ensembl:lncRNA
GGGUUGUGCUCCCUCCCUGUUGGUUGUUUGAGGGCUUAUGCCAAGGGGUAUCUCCCAGAACUGCUGCUGUCAGUGACCCUGUCCUCACAGGAAGCCACUGCUAACCCGCACCUCACCAAGAGACCCUCCAACACUAGCAGAAGGAAAUCCAGUGGAAUGAGCUGGCUCUUCAGGAAUAAAUCAAUAGAAAGAAGGUGUAACUUAUGAGAAAAGCAAGUAAUGGAUUGGGAGCUGUGGUAAGCAGGUUCCUGAACCUGAGAGAUUUGCACAUAGGACACAGUAAGUGUUUUUGAAUGAAGAUGACUUGUUAAUAAUAUUGAAGAUGGAUACGGUUUACUGAUUCAUUCCUAUUUGUGAAGACUUAGGUAUGGGGGAAGAUGAAGAUAUAUACCACAUUUUGGGGGGAAAAAGCCCUUUUUGGAAUUUAUUCAGUUAUUCAGUCAUG